rnacentral:lncRNA from 1 species
UGUCCUCAUUGAAAUUACUACAAUGAAUCAAAGUUGUGCUAGUCUCCACCAAACUUUUCUACCAGACAAGCGCUUACCUUCUUUUUUUUUUAUUUCCACAUACAACACACACCUCACCAUGACAUCCAUUCAAGUGACGCUUUCGAAUCCUUAAUAUACACGCACAAUCAAAAUUUUCCAAAUUAUAUGUGAGGUAAUCCCUUCCAAGUAUCCUUAAUUAUUAUAAUCCACAUUCUCAUGUGCUUUUCCAUCACUUAUUCUUAACAUUUCUUCCCAACGACUAACUAUUUCGCUUCAUUCCUUCCAUAACUGACACUUCGCACUUAACCUCGACUUCUAAAUUCUUAUGUGGAAUUCUCCAACAUGCUUUCCACUUACUAAACUCACCAUCCUUAUUCCGACUGUACUCCUUUUCCUAUUUAAAUUUCCAAAUUAACCAAUGAGGUUGUCAGUCUCCCCUUACAACUUGUAUUACCUUCUCGCUUCCUUGCUAACACACAACGUUAACCAUUCCUUUGCGAUUAUCUUGUCGAUGUUAUAAUAUCUACAAAACUCCAAUUAG